rnacentral:sRNA from 1 species
AAAUAUUAUAUUUAUUUGCGGAAGUUCCAUUUGUCUAAUGGUUGACCAAUGGUUCAUUUAAGCUUUUACAUUAAGAGGUUUGGAGUUUAAAUUCUAGCUACUGCAAUUUAUUAGUAGAUUUGUAGAUUAAUGGAGGCAAGUGUGCAGAAAAUCUCUAACGAUGUACAAUUAUAGUUGUUCACUAAGAUUCUACGCAGAGAAGAUAUUGAAGAUGUCCAUCAAAAACAUGGAGAAAGAGAAAGAGGUGUCGAUCGACAUAUGUGCUCAAAAAUAAAACAACUAAAUAUAUGUUUAUGUUUAGAUAUUGAAACCCCUUGACAA